UCCACUGAUUAGGAUCCUGCUGUGGCUGUUUAUUUGGAGUACGACCCCAAGAAAGCCUAAUAUUAUACCCACCCAACGGAACACCAUUGAGUGUUAGUAAAGCCUCCUCUGCACAUGACCUGCUCGCAAAUUGAACAAAUCCACAGCGCUUGCCAACAGGAAUCUUGACAUGCAAUAACUCCCCAUGCUGGCUAAAAAGCUGCCUUAGAGUAUCCUCACUGACAUCAGGAUCAAGCCCACCAACAAAUAUGGUAGUGUUAUUUGGAUCAUUCUCAGACUGUGUUCCUGGAGUGCUCUGAUAAGAAGCUUUCGCAGUGUAUUGCUGCUGACCAACCACACUCUUCUUGGUAGUCGCUGUACCAAUCCUCAUUGGCCUUGUAGAACAUAACAUUCCAUUCAUUUCCGUCACUGCACGUGCUUGUUCAUUUGGAUCUCCAAACUUCACAAAACCAUACCCUUUCGAGCGCCCAGAAGUCCUAUCAAUUACCACAUUUGCCCCCUUAACUGAGGGAAAGUGAACCUUAAAUGUCUCUUGUAGUAUGAAGUCUGUAACAUCUGAUGCCAGAUCCCCAACAAAUAUUGUAUAAUCAGGGGUAUCUUCACGUCUAUCGCCAGCACUAAGUGUAGCCCAAUUUAGCCUAAAGGUCUGCUCGGCACUAGGCAUCAUUUGACCAUUGUAUGUCUGAAGAACAUGUUCAGCAACGGCACGAGAAGCGAACUCAAUAAAACCAUAACCCUCCAGUUGUUGAGUCUGCUUGUUGCGGAUAAGUUUAACUGACCAAACCUCAGCUACUUGAGCAAAACAGCCGCUGAUAUAAGCCUCAUCCAUCCAAUACUGCAAAUUCCCAAUCCACAGCGUCCGGAUCUCGUCCGCCGCCGCCGGUUGCUGGGCCGCUGGCUGCGCCUGGUACUGCACCUGUGGCUGUGGCUGCGGCACGGCCUGCGGCGGCGGGAUCUGUGAACCCUGCUGCCCCCACACCGGCUGGGGCUGCGGCUGCUGGUAGUACUGCG
rnacentral:misc_RNA from 1 species